rnacentral:rRNA from 1 species
UACGGAGGGUGCGAGCGUUGUCCGGAAUCACUGGGCGUAAAGGGCGCGUAGGUGGCGCGGGAAGUCAACGGUGAAAGUUCGGGGCUCAACCCUGAAUCGGCCGCCGAUACUCCCGGGCUCGAGCACUGUAGAGGCAGAUGGAAUUCCGGGUGUAGCGGUGGAAUGCGUAGAGAUCCGGAAGAACACCGGUGGCGAAGGCGGUCUGCUGGGCAGUUGCUGACACUGAGGCGCGACAGCGUGGGGAGCAAACAGG